rnacentral:tRNA from 1 species
UAGACGCCUUCGAGAUAUGCAUCGGUGCGCUUCGACAGCGCAUAGUCGGCUUGCGCGACGACCUGGUUCCAUUUCGGGCGCGUCUGGCC